rnacentral:rRNA from 1 species
UACGUAGGGGGCAAGCGUUAUCCGGAUUUACUGGGUGUAAAGGGAGUGUAGGUGGCAUGGCAAGUCAGAAGUGAAAGCCCGGGGCUCAACCCCGGGACUGCUUUUGAAACUGCCAAGCUAGAGUGCAGGAGAGGUAAGUGGAAUUCCUAGUGUAGCGGUGAAAUGCGUAGAUAUUAGGAGGAACAUCAGUGGCGAAGGCGGCUUACUGGACUGUAACUGACACUGAGGCUCGAAAGCGUGGGGAGCAAACAGG